CUAAAAAAGGACACAGCAAAUGCACAAAACAAUGUGUUAACAACCAUUCAUUCAGAAAACAACAGAAUAUGAUAAACAAAUAAUAGUUGACUGAGCAAAACCACUAAAUUAGCUGAAACUUCAAGCUUUGCGUGGGUGAAAGACCUGACUGCCUAGGUAGCUGACAAUCAAGUUCGUUGUUGUUUAUUUGAAAAUCACAUAAAGCUUUCGAAGAAUCUCAAGCGUGGGCUGUAGCUCCGGCGAAAUUUGCAUAAAUCGCAUAAAAAUCAAUGACGGGCAUCAAAUGAAAAAUGAAAUUGAUCUCUUUACAGUCAGUACUGAUGUGGGUGCACACACAUGCAUAAUCUUUGGCUGGAGAAAGAAUUCAUUAAAAAUUUAAAUGUUAUGCGUCUUUGGCUCCUGUGCACAAGUGUAGCAGAUCUAUUCAUAAAAGUAAUAAAAUUUGCAGAGGGGAGACUCUGGCAGUGACGAAUUAUUGAAAAGUAAGGCGGAAGAAAGAACUGAAAUUGAAGUUAAAUGAUUUUGUGAGAUGAAUGAGAUGUCAUUAGGUUUAAAUUUAGUAAAAAGCGCUACAAUUUUGAUGCAGUAA